UGCGCAGGCGGCCCGAUAAGUCAGGGGUGAAAUAUGACGGCUUAACCGUCAAACUGCCCCUGAAACUGUCAGGCUUGAGUUCGAGAGAGGUAGGUGGAAUUCCAGGUGUAGCGGUGAAAUGCGUAAAUAUCUGGAGGAACACCGGUGGCGAAGGCGGCCUACUGGCUCGAUACUGACGCUCAGGCACGAAAGCAUGGGGAGCGAACG
rnacentral:rRNA from 1 species